rnacentral:misc_RNA from 1 species
AAUAUCGUAGUCUGAGAGC